AAUAAUUCAUUGCUAGCUUCAGCUGGUAGUCACUGAGACCCUGGAACAUAUGCUGCCUUUCAGAGAAUGAAACGAGUUGUUUAAUAAUCAGAUAAAGAGCUCCGUGGGCGACUAAGGAAAUCUCAGAACUAUUUGCAUGGAGAGGCAAUUGUCUGGAAAAUGUUUCAUAAUGGACAUAGAACUUUGAAAGUCACAGAUGACACCCAAGUCCGUAUAUUUAUCACACCUUGCUAGGUUUGUGGCCAGUACUUUCUCCACACUCCAAAAGCAAUGUGUUUGCAGCACAUUGCCCUCAUCUGCUAGGGUUCUUUCCAAAGAAUUAAAUCCCAUAUCCUGUAAGAGUUUUCUCAUAUCAACAAGCUCUUCUUUAACCAACUCACUCCAUCCGGCAUUCCAUUCAUAUUCUUCCAACUCUGGCUGCCACAUGUUAGAAAGAGGGUAGCUUUACUGGGUCAGUUGUCAUCAGCCUGUCUCUGUCAUCAGUCACCUCAGUGCUGAUACCUUGGGUACCUCCACAAAGAGUAAGUUGCCUUGGUUGCUGAGAUGGGAGCUGAACAUGAGCACAAUUUCAGGGGCUCCCACUUACCAUGACUGGUAUAUUUACUGUCACCGCUGGAAGUCCAGUCUGACAGCAAUGGAGACCGACACUAAGUCCCAAUACGACACUCUCACUUGAUGGAAAGUUGACCACCUGCUGCCACUCUAGAAGAGGUGGAAGUGAUCCAUCUUGAUUGGAAUCAACACAUUUUCUGGGUGUAGGUUUGCCUUUCCCACAGGGCUCAGCCAGAAUCCUAGCUAUCCAAGGGCUUACAGAGUGUUUUAUGCACUGAUGUGGGGUUUGCUAGAACAUUUCAUUGGACAAAAGAACCCACUCUACCUCAAAAGAAGUAUGACAGUGGGUAUGGGACCAUGGGAUCCACUAGUCCUCUAUACUGCACCCUCCAGAAACUUCUAGCUUGAAAGAGAAAUAAAAUAGCCUUUCGAAAGUGCAGUUGAGGUGCCAUCUUAGAGUUGACAAAAUGAAACGGCAUCAUCCUGGGGGACAGAGUAUCUCCCCUAAACUAACAGAGUAUCUCCCCUAAACUAACUUGCACCUUGUUAGUACAUGAGUCUGGGAAAUACAAGGUGCAAGUAUGAAUGGCUCAGUUUGUAGUCACUCCCAGUGGUCCCAUGGGGAAUUUCUGCUUUAGUCUUCCAUCUGUGGGUCUAUAGGCCCUACAUACGUCCACUGGGGAAUGCUGUAUGAGUACCACUAAACUUUAAGGUAUGAGUCCCACCUAGUCACUUCGUAAUCUUUGUACAAAAAACACCAGCAAGCAAGGAAAAAGU
rnacentral:lncRNA from 1 species